GGCACGGUAGCUCAGUUGGUUAGAGCACACGGCUCAUACCCGUGAUGUCGACAGUUCGAAUCUGUCCCGUGCUA
rnacentral:tRNA from 1 species